CAAAUUUGACAAUAAGCAGAAACACAUGACCUCUGGUGUUUGCACUGAGGACCAUCUCCUUGUGCCUUUUUCUAUAACGGGAAGUACGGCGUUACCAGUGUUGGCAAACAGACAUGUCUCUGUUGGAAGUGACUGAGUACAACGAAAGAGUGUUUGAUCACAAAGAGGCCAACAUGAAGACCCUCCACCUUGACGAGAGUAUUGAUAUGAGCCCCAAACCAAGAUAAAAAAUGCCAUCCUUGCUGUUCUGAGAGAGCUGUCCGGCCUUUCCCACACCGCCAACGGACAAAACAGAGCUCACCUGGC
ensembl:lncRNA